GGGGCGAUGCCGAGGAUAGAUCGGGCUGAUAACUAGAAAUGUUGUGAGAAUGAAUACUGUUGUUGUUACUUUCAGUGGCAGUACGUAUUUAUACUUGCCGAGGAUAGAUCCACUAACAUCCCUUAAUCUUGUUUAAUGUCCUCCAUUGAUCUUGUGUUUGUGCUUCCCUCAGCGGCCUGUAGGACAUCGCCAAAGCCGUCAACAAUCAGCGAGAGCGUGAAGAACUUCGACAUCAUGCUCGGCCUAGAGGAGAAGCCCGCCAAAGAAGAAGGUGCGUACGACAUGGACACACUAAUGCUACGACCCCCGUCUUGCCAUUCGCUUAAUUUAGUGCGUUGGGGUGCAUUGGUGCAUGGCUGUAUGUGUAUUAACAUUAAACUGUUGAUAUGACACUAAUAGGAUAGUCAAAUGGUGUUAGUGAUUAUGUUCAAUUGAUAUUUGACAGAUCUGUGUUUGUAGACAAUUACAUGUGCUCAUUGCUUAAUAUCACUGGAUUUUGACAAAAAAUUGUGCCUAUCACCCGUUCAAUUUCCAUGUGUAGUCAAAUUCAGUCUAUUGUAUUUUGUGCUAUUGAAUGGUUUUCGCAUAUUUUCAAAUGUAUGCCCUCUUGUAAGUGUUGGAAUUAUAACACAUUUUGCACUUGUAGGACCUAUCGUUUGAUUUGUUAGCACCUUAUAGAUAUAGAUACUAUGAGAUUUCCUAGUUAUUGAUAUGUUAGAACUUGUUUGAACAAAUAUCCCAUUUUAAAAAGGUCUAUCUAUGUGAUAUAUAGUAAUCGUAGCAAAAUACGGACAUCUAACUAGUAGUAUAAUAGAUGACGAUGACACCGUUUCGAAAUUGGAUGCGUCCUUAGCAGGUUUAUCGGGAUAUGCUUGUGAGUUGUGAAUAUAUCCUUAGAGAAACUCUAAUUAUUCUCUAUAUAACUCUCUAAAUCUUAAAUUUAAGAAGUGAACAGAAAAAAUGUUUCUCCAAUAGUUUUCUAAAUAGAUUUACUCAAUUUAGUUACUUACUAUCCAACCCCAUUUAGUCUCCAAGCUUGGCGGAACUACCUAAAUGCAGUUGGCGUCAAUUUCUUCUCACUCGGGUGCUCAUUUUUCUUCUCUUUCCCGCGCAACAAGGUAGCCACGUUCUACACACUCUUUGUAACACCCACUUUGUAGAAAAAAAAUCUAGAAAGAGAAAUCAUAUUACUGUAUAGAUAUUGUGUUAUCUCUAUUCAUUAUUUCAUGAGGACAUCGCACUUACAAAAAAAAUAAUAACAAAUAACAAAGGACACCAAAAAUAAUACAUGCAUCAUGCUGGACUUCACUUUGUGCGCAUUUUUUUGUGAUAAUAUAAAGAAAAAAAGUGUAUUGAUAUCCAAAUUUCGGAAUUUAACCCUAAUUUGCAAGAUUAGAAUAAGAGGAAAGAGAAUGCCUUAUAAAAGAAAACUACAUAAAAAUAAAAUUUAGCUUUCCAAAUUGAUGACCUUGAAUUAUACGUUAUACUUGGGUACAAAUUCACAACAAUAAUUGAGUUCAAAUUGGGGUUCAAAACAAAAAAAAAGAAAAGAAAACAGAAAUAAAAAAAAGAAAAAGGAAUGAAACCCCUAACUGGGCCUCAGAUUCACAUUUGGCCCACCCCGAAAACCCCUCCGCGCGGCCCAACUUGAAUUUCCCCUCCCGCGCACGACUCAUUGUCGGGUGGGCCGUGUUGUGUGUCGCUGAGGCGCACGCACUCGCGACCGUGUUUCGCCGCCUGGUGGGACCCCCAUGUUGGCUCACACUGAAGGAGUUACUAUUGAUGUGGAACCUACUUUGGAGCAAGAGAUCCGCAAGGGACAAAUUGGUGAUGCUAAAAUAAAAGAGAUCAAGGAUCUGAUUUCUGAAGGUCGAGUUCCGGAAUUUACGGAAGAUGAGCAAGGCACUAUAUGGUUCAAGGACAGGAUGUGUGUUCCUGAUAUUAAAAGCCUUCGAGAGACUAUUUUAAAGGAGGCCCAUGAUUCGAAUUAUUCUAUUCAUCCUGGUAGUACUAAGAUGUAUCAGGAUUUGAAGCGGAAGUAUUGGUGGUAUGGAUUGAAGAGAGAUGUAGCUGCACAUGUGGCUAUGUGCGAUGUAUGUCAAAGAGUUAAGGCUGAACACGAGAGACCAGCUGGACUACUGCACCCACCGAAGGUACCUAAGUGGAAGUGGGAAGAGAUCGGUAUGGAUUUCAUUACUGGAUUGCCUCGCACCCAGAAAGGAUAUGAUUAUAUGGGUGAUUGUAGAGAGAUUGACUAAAGUUUGUUUCAUUCCAGUCAAGACUACUUACAAGGAUCUCGAUUGGUAGAGUUAUAUAUGGCUCGGAUUGUGUCUCUACACGGUGUACCGAAGAAGAUCGUUUCGGAUAGAGGAUCACAGUUACCUUAAGAUUUUGGAAAAGUUUUCAUGAGAAUAUGAAUACGAAGUUGAAUUUUAGUUCGGCCUACCAUUCUCAGACUGAUGGACAGACUAAAAGGACUAAUCAAGUAUUGGAAGACAUGUUGAGAGCUUGUACCCUUCAGCAUGGUAGUAGUUGGGACAAGAGUCUACCUUAUGCUGAGUUCUCAUAUACUAGUUAACAUGCCAGUCUGAAGAUGUCACUGUUUGAGACUCUAUAUGGCAGGAAAUGAAGGAUUCCUCUACAUUGGAUCAGACUAGAGGAAGACAGUUCUUUGGACCUGAACUUAUUCAAGAGGGAGAAGAACAAGUUGUAUAAUUCGAGAGAAUUUGAGGGUAGCUCAAACCUGGAAAAAGAGUUAUGCUGAUAAUAGAUGAAGACCAGUGGGAUUUGAAGAAGGAGAUUAUGUUUACCUCAAGGUGUCACCACUUCGUGGAAUGAGGAGAUUCAAAGUUAAGGGCAAAUUGUCACCACGCUAUAUUGGACCAUUCUUGAUCUUUAGGCGAGUUGGGGAGAUGGCAUACCAACUCGAGUUACAUGCAAGUCUAUCGGAUGUGCACAAUGUAUUUCAUGUGUCUCAACUUAAGAAGUGUCUCCGUGUCCCUGAGGAACAGUUACCAAUGGAAGAGCUCAGUGUUCAGGGUGAUUUGACUUACACGGAGUAUCCAAUCAAGAUUCUUGACACAUUGACUCGAGUUACAAGAAAUAAGGUGAUAAAGAUGUGCAAAGUGCAAUGGAGUCAUCAUGGCGAAGAUGAAGCAACUUGGGAAAGAGAAGAAGAGCUUCGCAUAGAUUUCCCCCAUCUUUUCCCUAGAUCUUCCUAAAUCUCGAGGACGAGAUUAUUUUUAAGGGGGGUAGGAUUUGUAACACCCACUUUGUAGAAAAAAAAUCUAGAAAGAGAAAUCAUAUUACUGUAUAGAUAUUGUGUUAUCUCUAUUCAUUAUUUCAUGAGGACAUCGCACUUACAAAAAAAAUAAUAACAAAUAACAAAGGACACCAAAAAUAAUACAUGCAUCAUGCUGGACUUCACUUUGUGCGCAUUUUUUGUGAUAAUAUAAAGAAAAAAAAAGUGUAUUGAUAUCCAAAUUUCGGAAUUUAACCCUAAUUUGCAAGAUUAGAAUAAGAGGAAAGAGAAUGCCUUAUAAAAGAAAACUACAUAAAAAUAAAAUUUAGCUUUCCAAAUUGAUGACCUUGAAUUAUACGUUAUACUUGGGUACAAAUUCACAACAAUAAUUGAGUUCAAAUUGGGGUUCAAAACA
rnacentral:lncRNA from 1 species